rnacentral:rRNA from 1 species
UACGUAGGGUGCGAGCGUUAAUCGGAAUUACUGGGCGUAAAGUGUGCGCAGGCGGCCGAGCAAGUCGAGUGUGAAAGCCCCGAGCUUAACUUGGGAAUUGCGCUCGAAACUACUUGGCUGGAGUGUGGCAGAGGAAGGUGGAAUUCCAGGUGUAGCGGUGAAAUGCGUAGAGAUCUGGAGGAACACCGAUGGCGAAGGCAGCCUUCUGGGCCAACACUGACGCUCAUGCACGAAAGCGUGGGGAGCAAACGGG